UGCCGGGCUUCUAAAAAGUAAUUAUGAUUUAGUAAUAAUAUAUUAAAACCAUGGAAUUAAUGAGUUAGGGAUGUGUUUUAUACAUAAAGUGACAUAUGAUUGUAAAAGCAUGUAAGGUAAAUUAUUGGCUGUGCUAUGAUAUUUGUAAGGUAAAUUAUUGGCUGUGCUAUGAUAUUUGUAAGGUAAAUUAUUGGCUGUGCUAUGAUAUUUGAGAAGUGUUUUAUACAUAAAACGGAUCAUUCUACAAUAAUAUUUGCCUCCUUCAAAUAAUACAUAAAUUAAUAUAGUAAGUGUAACAGAAACUUUUACAUAACACAUCUUUAACCUGCUAUAUUUCAAUAACUUUUAAAGAGGAAACAACUUAAUGAAAUCUAAAACAUUUAUUUAAUUAAAAGAAAAAACAGAAAUGUUUAUUAGUUAAUUAUUUUUAUCAAAUCUCUGUUAACAUUUAACUUCCACCAAAAAGCAGGCUUCUAGAAUAAGACCACCAGUCUACAGUACCUUAGUAACACUAUCCGCCUAUGGUAACGCUAUCUGCCCUAGCAGCAAUGACCUUAAUAAGACCACCAGUCCAUAGUAACUUAGUAACACUAUCCGCCUAUAGUAACACUAUCUGCCCUAGCAGUAAUAACCUUAGUAAGACCACCAGUCUAUAGUAACUUUGUUGAUUGUUACUGAAGUGUGAACUAUAAAGUUAGUGACACGUUUCUAUUUGUUGAUCGACAUCAUCUUCUAGUGGUUCGCUUGCGAUCUAUCUGCGCGCUCAUGAUAGAUGACCUCAUCAUCCUACCCCUCCUCUAGCAACGCGCCCUUUGGUGCCACUUCAGGAAUGUAUGACUCCUAGCAACACUCCCUCUGCUAUUGAACUAUAAUGUCACCCCUCUCCUAGCCACUCGCUCUCUGGUGCCACUUCGUGGAACUGUGGCAUCUCUACUCCAUCUGGUGUCGACGCAUAAGUUGCAUAUUACAUAAUAGUUGUGUAAUUCUCAGGCGAUAUACUUUGAUCUUCAUUCACUUGGCGACGCCACCCCCCAUCCCCCCCCCCCACCAUGAAGCAGCAUCCCUUGAAAGGUGAAGAACUGCUCUUACCACUAACAUCCUCCUGGUUGGAUGACAAAUGGAUUUACUAGUAGUUUCAAGAAUUAACACAAUCCUCCCUCUGGGUGAAUAACCAGAUGAUUUACCAGUAGUUUCAAGAAUUAACCCAAUCCUCCUUCUGGGUGGAUGACAAACGGAUUUACCAGUAGUUUCAAGAAUUAACACAAUCCUCCUUCUGGGUGGAUGACAAACGGAUUUACCAGUAGUUUCAAGAAUUAACACAAUCCUCCUUCUGGGUGGAUGACAAACGGAUUUACCAGUAGUUUCAAGAAUUAACACAAUCCUCCUUCUGGGGAAUGACCAGAUGAUUUACCAGUAGUUUCAAGAAUUAACACAAUCCUCCUUCUGGGGAAUGACCAGAUGAUUUAC